UUAAAAUGCGCGCUGAAGCGCAUGCGGGCGGGGCGGGGGCCGAGGAGUUCGCGGAGCCCUCGGACCGGAGACUCGCGUGGGACCCGGUGCGCUUUGAGCCCUGGCACUGAGCGCUUUUAGCCGGGGAAGGGAAGCCGCAGCCCGCUUGUCCCCGUGACACGGGCGUGACUCCGAAUGCUAGUCUGAGAUCCAGAGGCCGGCUCACCUUCGGCUCCAUCCGUGCCUUCCCGGGUCCUCCCAAAGCGGGCCGCCUGGCAAGGUUCCCCGCGUGUGCUCCGGGCGCCCGCCCCGCCGCUUGUCGGGAGCAGCGCAAGGGCCGUGCCUCGGUCAGCCCGUGCCGCCGCGACCCGGGGAGGCGCACGGUAAGGGGUGGGGCCCGAGCAGUCCGCUCCCGGAGGUGGGCAACGCUGGCAGCCGCGGAGACUUCACAGCGUGCCGAGCGCUUCGCCCUGUCUCCCUUUCUCCCCGUGGGCGAAUUGACACGUCUAGUUAAGGGUCUCAUUCUGGAUUUAAACUCGGAAGUCUCUCUCUCUCUUACAGGAUUUCAGGCCCAGGCGCUUAACCAGCUCCAGGUUGUGAAUUUAGAUCCCAGAGGAAUUCCAAAAAUGUGCUGAGCAAUAACGGCAUCGUAGAAGUUACAUUUCUUUCUAGCGGACCACUGGCAGCACUUAGUUAGUUAGUAGUGUAGGUCUUAUUUGGAGAGGGCACCCUCCCUCCCUCUAUCAUUCAUCAUUUUUCAAAAUUCAACUUAAGUACCAAGAGCUCAGGAAAGGAAACAUCCCUAGAUCCCCCUGGAGAUCAGUCUAUACUUAUGUUGUAUUCCUCACUAGAAUGUAUAUAACCAGUGACCCGGUUCCCUAAAUAGUGCCAGCCUCACAAGAACAGGGUCUGGUCUUGGGUUCUAGUCCCCAAAGUUAGUCUCUGCUUUUGGCUCAAUUCCCAGACUAGAGUUAAUCCAGGAAAAACUCAGUACAGUUUAGAGUUUAUACUUUAUGUGUAAGUUUUCCCAAAUAUGAAUGGGGCUCCUAGCCUCUCUGCACACAUGAAAUUUAAUAAAUGCAUAUUGGGUAGCGUAACCUUAAUUUCAAUUCACAGGGGGUUGGGGAUGGAAAAACAGGCAACACAAAGGACUCACAUAAAACACAAUAAUCCCCAAAUUCCAGUGAAUUUAUCUUUUAACUCUGCAGAAAAUUUCUGGGAGCCUGGACUCCCUGGAAGAGAAAAAAGGCUUCUUAGAACUGUUAAAUCACAGAACAUACAUACAGCUUUCCCACUGGUGGACCGUCAGAGUGUGUGAAGAACAAAGUAUCAAUGCCAGUAUCUGUUCCACUCCUAGGACCAGUUUGUUAGCAGGAGCCAUAAGGGCGAUUCUCUUUUCUUCUCCAAGGCCAAUGCUGUUCAAGAAUAGGAUGUUGCCACUUCUUAACACCGUAUGGCUGGGAGAAGACAACAAAACUUUUCACCUGAAAGCAGCAAACCAAGCAUCCCAUCCACUUGAAAUGGAAAAUGCUUUAGAAUGUAAGGUAUUCAAAAGAUCUGUAUAAAAUAGUAUCUUUAGUAGCCUUUCCAUGAUUCUUUAGAGAAGAAAAUGACUUUGCAGCAUGCAAAAA